rnacentral:rRNA from 1 species
CGGCGGACGGGUGAGUAACACGUGGAUAACCUACCUAUAAGACUGGGAUAACUUCGGGAAACCGGAGCUAAUACCGGAUAAUAUAUUGAACCGCAUGGUUCAAUGGUGAAAGACGGUUUUGCUGUCACUUAUAGAUGGAUCCGCGCCGCAUUAGCUAGUUGGUAAGGUAACGGCUUACCAAGGCAACGAUGCGUAGCCGACCUGAGAGGGUGAUCGGCCACACUGGAACUGAGACACGGUCCAGACUCCUACGGGAGGCAGCAGUC